rnacentral:rRNA from 1 species
AGAGUUUGAUCAUGGCUCAGAUUGAACGCUGGCGGCAUGCCUUACACAUGCAAGUCGAACGGUAACGCGGGGCAACCUGGCGACGAGUGGCGAACGGGUGAGUAAUGCAUCGGAACGUGCCCAGUAGUGGGGGAUAGCCCGGCGAAAGCCGGAUUAAUACCGCAUACGACCUACGGGUGAAAGGGGGGGAUCGCAAGACCUCUCGCUAUUGGAGCGGCCGGUGUCAGAUUAGGUAGUUGGUGGGGUAAAGGCCUACCAAGCCGACGAUCUGUAGCUGGUCUGAGAGGACGACCAGCCACACUGGGACUGAGACACGGCCCAGACUCCUACGGGAGGCAGCAGUGGGGAAUUUUGCGCAAUGGGGGAAACCCUGACGCAGCAACGCCGCGUGGAGGAUGAAGUCCUUCGGGACGUAAACUCCUUUCGACCGGGACGAUAAUGACGGUACCGGAAGAAGAAGCCCCGGCUAACUUCGUGCCAGCAGCCGCGGUAAUACGAGGGGGCGAGCGUUGUUCGGAAUUAUUGGGCGUAAAGGGUGCGUAGGCGGUUUGGUAAGUCU